UUGACAUCCAGAGAAUUUAGCAGAGAUGCUUUAGUGCCUUCGGGAACUCUGAGACAGGUGCUGCAUGGCUGUCGUCAGCUCGUGUUGUGAAAUGUUGGGUUAAGUCCGCAACGAGCGCAACCCUUAUCCUUUGUUGCCAGCACGUAAUGGUGGGAACUCAAAGGAGACUGCCGGUAGAUAAACCGGAGGAAGGUGGGGAUGACGUCAAGUCAUCAUGGCCCUUACGAGUAGGGCUACACACGUGCUACAAUGGCGUAUACAAAGAGAAGCGACCUCGCGAGAGCAAGCGGACCUCAUAAAGUGCGUCGUAGUCCGGAUUGGAGUCUGCAACUCGACUCCAUGAAGUCGGAAUCGCUAGUAAUCGUAAAUCAGAAUGUUACGGUGAAUACGUUCCCGGGCCUUGUACACACCGCCCGUCACACCAUGGGAGUGGGUUGCAAAAGAAGUAGAUAGCUUAACCUUCGGGAGGGCGUUUACCACUUUGUGAUUCAUGACUGGGGUGAAGUCGUAACAAGGUAGGCGUAGUGCU
rnacentral:rRNA from 1 species